GCUGAAAGGAUUUUGUUUCUUGUGUACGUGGUCCACAGGAGUCGUCAUUUUUUAUCGCAUUUCAUUCAUAUAUUCGAAACCGCGCGCACGUUCCGGGAACGCGCAUUAAAAGCCGUCUCCUAAAUAAAUGAGCGAGCUGGGCCACGCGCUCUUGUCGGGCCGAUUUAAAGGCUUUGAAGUUUUCGGACGAGUGACUCUCCGGUGCGUAUCGAGAUCCAAAUGAGGGUCGGGUUCGAGUACGGAUCGAAACAUGUUCCGUCGCCACCGAUUUGAUCCCAUCACAAGAUGGUCUCUCGUUUGUUUCUUCAAAUGGGGGUCCUCUAAGAGGUGCCUCCUCUCUCUCUCUCCCUCUCUCUCCCUCCAUCUCCUCCCCCUUCUCUCUCUCCAUUUUGUGUGUUUGCUGAACGCAUCGAGUCUCCGCCGCCACACGAGGGAUUUCGGAGUAUUAUUUUGAUCGAGCUCCUAUCGUUGCAGAAAGCACAUCCUGUUUCCAUGCUGUCAACACAGGAAGUGAGGCCCACACAUGGCAAGGUAUUUCAAUCAGUCAUUUUUAAGUAAAAACAAUUGAAAGUGAACAUUCGCUCCCGGGACUGGUGUGAAACGGCCGGAAAAGUUUCCGUAUCUCAGUUUUAGGCCUCCAGUUCAUUUUACCGAAUGUUUUCGUUUGUGCGCUUUCAGUAGAUGGCAAGGAACAUUUUUCCAGUUUUUCCCGAUAGAUCUGGAGGCGCGUGGACGGGAUUUAUAACCAACUGCUACUAAAGAAGCAAAUCAAACAACGAAUGAAAUGGUGAAGCCAAAGUUUGCACGUGUUCUGUUAGUAAUAGAACAUAUGAAGUCAAAUGUUUAAAACUAAAGACUUUAAGAAGAAACUGAGCCCUUUAGCUCCGGUUUGUGAAUGAAGAACAUGAAUUUGUCCUCGAUUAUUCAUGAAAAAGAAGAAGAAACCUUCCUUGUGAUAUUAAUAAAUUCAUGAUUUUUCUUCUUCUUCUAACCUUAAAUAGAACCAACAGACAGUCGGGUCACACUCGCUAGAUUUUUGUCUAUUUGCGCGUUAAGAGCAUGUUUUAAAUUACAUCAAGAUCCACACUUUGAAACUGUUUUCACCGUCCACAGUCGUAGAACAUAAAAGUACAUUUAAUUUAAUCAUAAAUAAAUGCUGUUUGGAGGUGGAUGGUGAACGCACCAGUCUCCCUGGCUGCCCUGGUGCCUUAGUCUGAAGAAAACAUUUUCACCCUGCUGGGAACGUCAAAGGAAAGAGGUCAGUCAGGGUGAAUGACCUCUUUCCUUUGACUUCAUACCAGUUUUGCAUAAGAACUUCAAAUCCCACAGCACCAGGCUCAUUGUGCAAGGUUCGUUUUCACAUUCAUUCACAGAGGAAAGAAAGAUUUGAACAGUACUCAACUAAUUUUUUAUUUUUUUAAAUGAUUUUUCUAAAAAUGUAAAGACUCAAAGCAUUUAUGUAGAUCUCUUCUAGAGGGACACUUAAAAGAUGUUGUAGCUGCUCCAUUUUAUCUUCAAUUCAGUCUUUAACAAAAACAAAGUUAAUGCAGUUUAUUCCACACAAGUUGUGGCUAUAAACUUCCACCACAAACUGAUCCUCUCUUGAGAAGAUUCUUUUAUUUUUUGUGACAUUUCUCCCUUGUCAUUGUUUUUUUCUGCCAAUGUUAUUGUGUUGUUGUUUGUUUCACAUUGUGUUUGGAUUACUUUUCAGCUUCAUUCCCAGUGUAACUGAAGGAUGGGAGGCUGCACGUGGAUCUUAAAUGACACACACACAGAGCCAAGCCACCAGUGCAACAUUUAAUCCUUUAUGUUUUAUAUAUUUCAUUCUGUCUGCAAGUAUUAAAGCUAUAGAUACAUUU